GAUGAACGCUGGCGGCGUGCCUAAUACAUGCAAGUCGAGCGAACGGACGAGAAGCUUGCUUCUCUGAUGUUAGCGGCGGACGGGUGAGUAACACGUGGAUAACCUACCUAUAAGACUGGGAUAACUUCGGGAAACCGGAGCUAAUACCGGAUGAUAUUUUGAACCGCAUGGUUCAAAAGUGAAAGACGGUCUUGCUGUCACUUAUAGAUGGAUCCGCGCUGCAUUAGCUAGUUGGUAAGGUAACGGCUUACCAAGGCAACGAUGCAUAGCCGACCUGAGAGGGUGAUCGGCCACACUGGAACUGAGACACGGUCCAGACUCCUACAGGAGGCAGCAGUAGGGAAUCUUCCGCAAUGGGCGAAAGCCUGACGGGGCAACGCCGCGUGAGUGAUGAAGGUCUUCGGAUCGUAAAACUCUGUUAUUAGGGAAGAACAUAUGUGUAAGUAACUGUGCACAUCUUGACGGUACCUAAUCAGAAAGCCACGGCUAACUACGUG
rnacentral:rRNA from 1 species